rnacentral:rRNA from 1 species
UACGAAGGGGGCUAGCGUUGUUCGGAUUUACUGGGCGUAAAGCGCACGUAGGCGGAUCGUUAAGUCGGGGGUGAAAUCCUGGAGCUCAACUCCAGAACUGCCUUCGAUACUGGCGAUCUUGAGUCCGGAAGAGGUGAGUGGAACUCCUAGUGUAGAGGUGGAAUUCGUGGAUAUUAGGAAGAACACCAGUGGCGAAGGCGGCUCACUGGUCCGGUACUGACGCUGAGGUGCGAAAGCGUGGGGAGCAAACAGG